GUUCCUGCUGCGAGCCCGUGAGAGUUAAUCGAUUUGUCACGGUGAACUCCGCUCGCAUUGUAGUAUAAAUACAUUUCUGUUGAUAAUACUGUGAACAUAGCAAGUAACAAUGAGCGUUCUUGCUACCCCUUAUGAUGUAAGGAAAUAAGGUGAAACAAUGCGCAUACGCUUUAGUUGAACCAAUCGCAAAACAUAUCCAAGAUGACGUCAUGUGGGCGCCAAAUUCAAACGGUCAGCUGUCAGAUACAUGGGCGCCAUGUUACAUUUCUGUGACGUCAUCUUGGAUAUGCACAGCCCUAGCGAAAACCGGUCUUCAGUUCUGACACGCCUUAUUCCCUUUACAUCAUGCUACCCCUGAACGACAGUUUUAUUUGGUACCCGGACACCGAACUACACAACAUAGGCAUAACGAUUAUCACGAUGGCAUAUCGAGACGAGAACCUCAGCAAUAACGAAAUCGGGUGAACUUGUGCAGAAUGUAUAACGGCGUGCAGCUUUGAGGGCCCGAUAUCGAUGUGGGACGAAGCUCGAGUUGCGCGAUUGGUGUUGGCUG